ACUGCUGCACCACAGGAAGCAGACGGGGGGCCACUGUGGAAGGGUCUAUCCGAGACUGUGGGGCGGAGGGAACAGCACCUUCGCCACUGUGACAGAAGGCAUGCAAAUGUCAGGGCUGUGCCUGAACGAUGGAGUCAUCUGGGUAAGAGGCUGAAGCAGGGAUUCUUAGAUUUCUGAGUCAACAUGGCAGAGUCAACACUUGUUGAGAAUCGUCAGUCUGAGGCAACAUACAGAAAUAACAGGCCUGCCUUCUAACGGCCACGGCUACUUCCCUCCAAACUCAGCUUGUCCCGGGAGGUGCCUUUGUCGCCUUGUCGCAGUGCGAGCUGUCCCUGAAUGCCGAUCACCACAUCUCCUCCUGCGCCUCUUCAGGACCUGUGUGGUCACAGCCUUCUGCUGUUCUUAGUCUCGGGGCACCUCAAAUGACCUUGUUGGAUUCUUCAUUCCUUCCCAUACUACUGUAAAUAGUGUCUUCAUUCAAAUCUUUUGAAUUUAAGUAUCUGAACGAGAUUCUAUUUUUGGCUGGAGACUCGAUUAAUUAAAACCAUUUUUUAAAACAAGAAAAGAAUGCCUCUGUCAAUCGGAAAAGAUAAUGGCCCCCAGGUGGGCAAGGUGAUGCAGAACGCAAUGACUGCCGGUACACUUUGGUGCUACCGCCUUGAUUCAUGCUACAAACCGGAAGAACAGUUCUUCAAGGUUCACCUACCUCAGCUUUUGCGGCACCAAUGCAAACGUCGUCAACAGAGUGAGCCAAGGUAAACAGUGCCUGAGGAUGAAGACAAUUGUUUUGGACCUCACCCCCCCCCGCCCCCCUUCAGGCCAUGGAUCCUUUGGAGAGGGUCUCUGGGCCAGAUGGAUGACACAAGGAAGGAGAUCCAAGCUAGCCUGGGUGCCUGUGACGACACUUCCCAGGGCACGGGCCCUCCCCACCUGACCUCCAUCCUGAGCUCCUUCUACAGAACUAAUUCUGCUUUUUACUCUGGGGCUUCUUGAUUGCUUCCUUCCACCCAACACGUGGUUUUGCCUCCACCCUGGGGUGCUGAUGCCUGUGCCUUAAUAAAGUCCUGGCUGCAGCUCAA